rnacentral:rRNA from 1 species
GACGAACGCUGGCGGCGCGCCUAACACAUGCAAGUCGAACGAGCGAGAGAGAGCUUGCUUUCUCGAGCGAGUGGCGAACGGGUGAGUAACGCGUGAGGAACCUGCCUCAAAGAGGGGGACAACAGUUGGAAACGACUGCUAAUACCGCAUAAGCCCACGGUGCCGCAUGGCACAGAGGGAAAAGGAGCAAUCCGCUUUGAGAUGGCCUCGCGUCCGAUUAGCUAGUUGGUGAGGUAAUGGCCCACCAAGGCGACGAUCGGUAGCCGGACUGAGAGGUUGAACGGCCACAUUGGGACUGAGACACGGCCCAGACUCCUACGGGAGGCAGCAGUGGGGAAUAUUGUACAAUGGGGGAAACCCUGAUGCAGCGACGCCGCGUGGAGGAAGAAGGUCUUCGGAUUGUAAACUCCUGUUGUUGGGGAAGAUAAUGACGGUACCCAACAAGGAAGUGACGGCUAACUACGUG